rnacentral:lncRNA from 1 species
GAACUGUAACACUCACCGCGAGGGUCUGCAGCUUCAUUUUUAAGUCAGCGAGACCAAGAACCCACAGGAAGGAACCAAUUAUGGACACAGUAGUAGUACAGCAGAAAGAAAAAGAGAAAAUAUCUGGAGAAACCCCAGAAAUUAAUUUCUAAAUGUUAUCAAGCUACAUAAGCAUUAUUCAGAUAUUAGGGUUUUUUUUUUUUUAACACCUUGCUGAAACUGUGCUUGGCCUGAUUAGUACUUUUCUCUUGGCAUUAUAUUACAUACCUUCAGUCUUUGUUUUAUGUUGCUAUAACGGAAUGCGUGAGACUGGGUAAUUUAUAAAGAAAGAGGUUCAUUUGGCUCUAGAUUCUGGAGGCUGGGAAGUGCAAGAUCAGACAGCUGCAUCUGGUCCACUUCUGCUCUGUGGUACAUUGCAAAGCCUGGCCAGAAAUAUUUGUUGCUCCUCCUGUCAAGCGGUGGAGUUGAUUUCUCCAACCAUUGAGUCUGGCUGCCUUUGGGACUUGCUUUGGAGAACAAAAUGCAGAAGUGAUGCUGUGCCAGUCCUGAGCUUGGACCUCAAGAUAUUUUGCACACAUAUGCUUUUGAUCUUGGAACCCCUUAUCCUAGCCCAGUAAACUGGGCUGAACUGAUGAUCAAAGACGCCUCCUUCACCGUGUCUACAAGGCCCUCUGAAAACACCUGGUCCUCUGGCGAUCCAUCAGUUAACUGGGGACUCUAAAGAACAGCACAGCCAAGCAGAAAGGAACAGCAGGAAGAGGCCCCUGCAGCGAUCAGAGAUGGAUAGCAAACAGGGCAACCCCCACCAAAAUGCCAGCAGCCCCAGGCUCUACAGCCCCACACUGGGCCAUCUCCUCACACAGGCUCGGCCUCUGAAACCAGCAACAUCCAGAACAGCAGUAGCAUUUGUCUAGCUUUGCCUCUGGGUCAGGCACUUCCAUGUCAUUCUCACAACAGCACUGUGCAAUAGACAUCAUGAUCCCCAUUUUGCAGAUGAGGGAACUGAAGUUGGGAUAGGGAAGAUGACUUUCCCAGGGCACCUGGUACAGCUGAAAUUUGAACUCAGAUCUGAUUCUAAAGUCAGCUCCACAACUGAACAAUUUAAAGCAAUGGUUGGCCAUCUGCUAUUUGGAAAGAGUCUUUUCCUUCUAGGUUCUGUAUGUUGAGCAACUUUUGAUAAGGAAGAAGAUGUCAAUACUAGAAGCUUAAAUAUAAUGGGAAAGAACUCCGGAAUAAGGAUAAGAGAUGCCAUUCAUGGAGGAUCUUGCUGGGACCAAGAACUUUAUCUGCAUUAUCUCAUUAAUACUCAUGAUGUCCCUACAAGGUAGACAUUGCUAUCCCCAUUUUAAAGAUUAAAAAAAUCAAGGCUUCCAUUAGUGAAGUAACUUGACAAGUUCAAGGGCUUCCAUUCCUGCUCUGGAGGGUCCUGCCUCCAAAACUCUCAGUCACUACCCUUAAUGCAUGAAAGGUCAUUUCAGAUGGAAAUGUAUCACUCGAGACACACUUUGUCAUCAUAGUCCAAAUGACACAUACCUAGUCUGUAAAGAUUUGCUGAUCAUGCAUUAGCCUUUAAUGCCACAUGUACAAAGAGAAAAAUUAGCAUGAACAGACAGCGCUAGUUACAAAUAAAAGGAUCAUGAGUCACCAUACUUCUCAAUCUCUGAUACUCCCUGAAUGAUAAAAUACAAGUCUUGUAGUGAACCUAGGAAGUUUGUCAUUUUACCUUGUCAUGAUAUACUACAGCAAAAAUGUGCCAGACCAGGGAGCAGAUCUGACUAGAGUCCCGGCUUUGACACCGACUAACCGUGUGAACACAGCUAAGUUGUAUCACUUUGCCAAACACUGGUUUCUUCUUGGAUAAGACUGAUGUAGUAAUUAUUACAUCACGCUAUUAAAUGUGUCAUAUUAUUGCCUAAUAAUAAUAAUUUCUAUCUUGGUAUGAAUGCCCACUGCUUUACUCUUCUGAGGAGAUAAGUCAGAGAUUAUUAUAAAGAUCAGGUCAUUUCUAUCUUGGUAGGAAUGACCACUGCUUUCCUCUUCUGAGGAGAUAAGUCAGAGAUGAUUAUAAAGAUCAGGUGAUGUCAUAUAUGUGAAAACAUCUUAUAAGCUCUUAUAAGAGGCAUGAUUAUGAGGAUGGUGAUGAAACUGUCAUAGCCAUUGUCUCACCAUUGUCACUCCAAGCCGACUUCCCUGAGAAGCUGUGAAAUUGAGGCCCCAGCAGGGGCCAGACAAGAGCCCCAGACAGCAGCUGUCUCAAAGAACAGAGCCUCAAAUGGGACUUGCUGACUGCAAUUCUAAACCUAUUUCCCUUUGAAGUUAAGUGUAUGUUCUUUUCAGGUAAACACUGUAUGAACAAUUUAGGAUGGUUUCUAAUGCAUCUACCCUCGGUCAAAAUCAGGUAAUAAUGAAAAAUGUAUUCCACUUGUGGCUUGGCCCCAUUUCUGUUUUUCCUGUUUCCUCUCCCUUCCUCCCCCAUACUUGCCUUCCACAUGUUGGUCCAUCUGUUCUAGGUAGGGUGAGCCUGCUAGUCAGAGAGCAUGUUUUUUUCAGCUUUCUGGCACAUAUGCAUGGAACCAUCAGAGAAUGGAGAAAUAACCAGGCCCAGAUCAUGUUGCAAGAAACACAAGUGACACUGCAGUCCAUGAACUCACCUAUGGUGUGUGACGUUCUGCUUCUCACACUGAGCAUGGAUGGAGGGCUGGGUGCUGGGCGUGUGCACACCUGCUAUGGGAGCAUUCAUAGCCCCUGAGGCCAGAGAGACCUGGGUUACAAUCCUGACCCUCUGCAAAUUAGCUUUGGGAUAUAGCUACGUAAUUUCCUUGGCUUCUGUUUCCUUCUUUCUGUGUGAUGAAACCUGGCUUUUCCAAUUGUUCAGAUAAUUUAGUGAGAUAACAAAUGCAAAGUGCCUGGCAGUAAUUGUUCUGAAUGGGUACUUCCCUCCUCUAAACCCUCUACAUGAAGCUGCCCUUGGUAGAAAUGCGCACUGCUUUCCUCUUCUGAGGAGGUAAGUCAUGUACGGUCUUCAUUCAGGUCUUCGACAUACCUGCCACUAUAAGAACACAGCAGAUUGGGUCAUCAUACAACGUAGAUAUGUAUCAAAACAUCAGUUUGUACCUCAUUAAUACGUACAAUUACAAUGUGUUCAUUAGAUAUAUAUGUAUAAAAAGACAGCUGAAAAAUAUUAGGUUACAAAUUUCUUUUGGCUGUUUGCAUCAUUUGACUGUGAAUAAUAUUGCUGGCAUGUGGCACAUUACAAUUGCUGAAUGAACAAAACAUGGUUGUAGACUGUAGAGAAAAAGCAUUUCCAUAAAGGGAAUAAAUGUAUACUUGACUCUCUGGAUGGGGAAAGAGGUGCCUGGAAGGAGGCUAACCAAAGUGCCAUCACUGGAUA